rnacentral:rRNA from 1 species
GACGAACGCUGGCGGCGUGCUUAACACAUGCAAGUCGAACGGAAAGUGCUCUUCGGAGUGACUCGAGUGGCGAACGGGUGAGUAACACGUGGGUGAUCUGCCCUGCACUUUGGGAUAAGCCUGGGAAACUGGGUCUAAUACCGGAUAGGACUACGGCCUUCAUGGGUUGUGGGGGAAAGCUUCUGCGGUGUGGGAUGGGCCCGCGGCCUAUCAGCUUGUUGGUGGGGUAAUGGCCUACCAAGGCGACGACGGGUAGCCGGCCUGAGAGGGUGACCGGCCACACUGGGACUGAGAUACGGCCCAGACUCCUACGGGAGGCAGCAGUGGGGAAUAUUGGACAAUGGGCGCAAGCCUGAUCCAGCCAUGCCGCGUGAGUGAUGAAGGCCUUCGGGUUGUAAAGCUCUUUAGCCGACGAAUAUAAUGACUGUAGUCGGAGAAUAAGCCCCGGCUAACUUCGUGCCAGCCGCCGCCGUAACAC